rnacentral:rRNA from 1 species
UUUUCAGGGAGGAAUAAAAUGACGUGUACCUGAAAAAUAAGCAUCGGCUAACUCCGUGCCAGCAGCCGCGGUAAGACGGAGGAUGCAAGUGUUAUCCGGAAUCACUGGGCGUAAAGCGUCUGUAGGUGGUUUAAUAAGUCAACUGUUAAAUCUUGAUGGCUCAAUUUCAAAAUCCCAGUCAAAACUUUUAAACUAGAGUAUAGUAGAGGUAAGGGGAUUUUCCAGGGGAGGGGUAAAAUGCUUAAAUUUUGAAAAAAACCCCGAUGGCAAAGGCAUUUUACGGGGUUUUUACUAACACUCAGAGACAAAAGCUGGGGUAGCAAAGGGGAUUAGAUCCCCCAGUACCCCUACCUGUAAACAAUGGAUACUAGAUGUUAAACAAAUCGCCCUGUGCAGUAUCAAAGCUAACGCUUUAAGUAUCCCCCCGGGAAAGUAUGCUCGCAAGAGUGAAACUCAAAGGAUUUGAGGGA